AUGCAGAUCUUCGUGAAGACGCUGACGGCGGAGACCAUGACGCUCGAGGUGGAGAGCUUCGCGGCCGUCGACAGCGUCAAGGCCAAGAUCCACGACAAGGAAGAGUUCCAGACGGACCAGCAGCGCCUCAUCUUCGCGGGGAAGCAGCUCGAGGAUGGCCGCACCAUGGCCGACUACAACAUCCACAAGGAGUCCACGCUUCACCUCGUGCUGCGCCUCGCCGGCGGUAUGCAGAUCUUCGUGAAGACGCUGACCGGGAAGACCAUCACGCUCGAGGUGGAGUCCUCGGACACCAUCGACAACGUCAAGGCUAAGAUCCAGGACAAGGAAGGUAUCCCGCCGGACCAGCAGCGCCUCAUCUUUGCAGGGAAGCAGCUAGAGGAUGGCCGCACUCUGGCCGACUACAACAUCCAGAAGGAGUCGACGCUUCACCUGGUGCUGCGCCUCCGCGGCGGCAGCAGAGGUGGAUACCCCAAGAACCUUGAGCCCAACCUCCGCAUCCUUGCUCAAAAGUACAAUGAGAACAAACUAGUCUGCCGCAGGUAUGCACUCGAUCCCAGUAACGAACCUUUUCUCGGUGCCUAUGGUUGCAGUUGCAGCGCUUGA
rnacentral:rRNA from 1 species